CUUGGUCAUUUAGAGGAAGUAAAAGUCGUAACAAGGUUUCCGUAGGUGAACCUGCGGAAGGAUCACUAAAGUAAACGCCCUCCGGGGCUCUCUUUAUUCACACACCCCUGUGCACUUUGGCCACCUGCCGCGCUUCACUGCGUUAGUAGGUGUGUCUUUAUAAUUAUACCCAUAUACACAAGUCAUUGAAUGUAAAAUCGUUAUAAACUAAUAUAACUUUCAACAACGGAUCUCUUGGUUCUCGCAUCGAUGAAGAACGCAGCGAAUUGCGAUAAGUAAUGUGAAUUGCAGAAUUCAGUGAAUCAUCGAAUCUUUGAACGCAUCUUGCGCCCUUUGGUAUUCCGAAGAGCAUGCCUGUUUGAGUGUCAUGAAACUCUCACCUCCAGCCUUCUUUAAUUAGAGGUGUUGGGGCGUGGACGUGAGUGCUGCUGGUGCCCUGGUUGCAUCGGCUCACUUGAAAUAUGUUAGCUGACUCCUCUAGAGGUGGUUCUACUCGACGUGAUAAGAUCUCCGUCGAGGACAGUGCAACUUGUUGUGCUGGCCGCUCCUAGCAGUUGACGUCGCUUCUAAUUAGCGCAGACUUCGAGUGCUGGCAACUUUUGACAACUUGGCCUCAAAUCAGGUAGGACUACCCACUGAACUUAAGCAUAUCAAUAAGUGGAGGAAAAGAAACUAACAAGGAUUCCCCUAGUAACGGCGAGUGAAGCGGGAAGAGCUCAAAUUUAAAAUCUGGCAGGCUACGCUUGUCCGAAUUGUAAUCUCGAGAAGUGUUUUCCGCGUUGGCCUGUGUACAAGUCCCUUGGAACAGGGCGUCAUAGAGGGUGAGAAUCCCGUCCUUGACACAGACACCCAAUGCUUUGUGAUACACUCUCAAUGAGUCGAGUUGUUUGGGAAU
rnacentral:sRNA from 1 species